CAGAACCAGGUCAAUUAAGCUUUGGCUCAGAACCCCACGCUAUCCAAAUUUGAAUUUUGGUAUUGAGAGUUUUGUUGAUUAAAGAUCAGUGACCAUGAGCCGGAAAGCAUCAGCAGAAGAAAUCAAGCUGCAGCCCUGAGAGACAGCCUGCUGU